rnacentral:lncRNA from 1 species
UAAUGCAUAAUUGCAUCAUUUACUAACAUAUGAUGACGGUCAAAGAGGUUUGGAACUUUUGUUGUCUCCGUUUCUCUAGAAAAAGGCGAUUUUAUAGUGAUUAUUCCACCAAUUUAGGGAGUAUUAUGAAGUUUUACUAAAUUAAAUGGCAAAUAAUUAAAAAGAUGCUCAUGUACAAUGAAAAGAGUUUAAUAUACAUUAUUACAAAUUUAUAAUGAGUUCAGAAAUUUUAAAACAACACUAAAGAUUAUAGGCUUCAGUAUAUAGAACAUUUGUCGAAAAAUUCAAUACUUUCGUAAGGGUUAACAAAUAGAUUUUGAAAAAAUUUUAAAAAUAUGAAAAUACUGAUUUAAUGCAUAGUUGCAUCAUUCACUAACAUAUGAUGACGGUCAAAAAGGUUUGGAACUUUUGUUGUC